rnacentral:rRNA from 1 species
UGAGGAAUAUUGGUCAAUGGACGCAAGUCUGAACCAGCCAUGCCGCGUGAAGGAUGAAGGCCUUCUGGGUUGUAAACUUCUUUUAUUGGGGAAGAAAACUAUGGUUUCUACUAUAGCCGACGGUACCCAAGGAAUAAGCACCGGCUAACUCCGUGCCAGCAGCCGCGGUAAUACGGAGGGUGCAAGCGUUAUCCGGAUUCACUGGGUUUAAAGGGUGUGUAGGCGGGCUGUUAAGUCAGUGGUGAAAUCUCCGGGCUCAACCCGGAAACUGCCAUUGAUACUAUCAGUCUUGAAUAUCGUUGAGGCAGGCGGAAUAUAUCAUGUAGCGGUGAAAUGCAUAGAUAUGAUAUAGAACACCAAUUGCGAAGGCAGCUUGCUAAACGAUCAUUGACGCUGAGGCACGAAAGCGUGGGGAUCAAACAG